rnacentral:rRNA from 1 species
ACAGUUCUACUGGCUGGCUUUGUCGGCUGUAGACUGAAUAACUAAAGACAACUCUCAACAACGGAUAUCUUGGCUCCCGUAACGAUGAAGAACGCAGCGAAAUGCGAUACGUAGUGUGAAUUGCAGAAUUCCGUGAACCAUCGAAUCUUUGAACGCAAAUUGCGCUCGAGGCCUCGGCCAAGAGCAUGUCUGCCUCAGCGUCG